AAUGGCCGCGGUACUUUGACCGUGCUAAGGUAGCGCAAUCAAUUGGUUUUUAAUUGGAGCCAGGUAUGAAUGGAGUUACGGAGUUUGACUGUCUUCCGGGUACUUUAUUGAAUUUACUAUAUAGGUGAAAAAGCCUAUAAAGAGAAAAAGGACGAGAAGACCCUUAGAGUUUAGCCUAGAUGGAAAUAAAUUAGUUUUCAGAAUGGUUUCGUUGGGGCAACGAAGGAGCAAAAUUAAUUAUAUAAUCUCCUUACAUCAAUUUAUCGAUUAUGUUAGUAAUAGUUAAACUACCUUAGGGAUAACAGCAUAAUUUUAUUUGUAAGUUUGUGACCUCGAUGUUGGACUGGGAAACUU
rnacentral:rRNA from 1 species